UGGGGAAUACUGCACAAUGGGGGAAACCCUGAUGCAGCGACGCCGCGUGAGGGAAGACGGUUUUCGGAUUGUAAACCUCUGUCUCUGGUGAAGAUAAUGACGGUAACCAGAGAGGAAGCCACGGCUAACUACGUGCCAGCAGCCGCGGUAAUACGUAGGUGGCAAGCGUUGUCCGGAAUCAUUGGGCGUAAAGCGUUCGUAGGCGGUAUAUCAAGUCUGGUGUUAAAGCCCGGGGCUCAACUCCGGUUCAGCAUCGGAUACUGGUAAACUAGAAUGCGGUAGAGGUAAGGGGAAUUCCUGGUGUAGCGGUGAAAUGCGUAGAUAUCAGGAGGAACAUCGGUGGCGAAAGCGCCUUACUGGGCCGUUAUUGACGCUGAGGAACGAAAGCCGGGGGAGCAAAUG
rnacentral:rRNA from 1 species